rnacentral:sRNA from 1 species
GACUAGUCCUGUGGGUUAUCAGAACUUAAUAAACAUUAGUGUCACUAAAGCUGGUAUACAACUCCCCCACUGCUAAAUUUGACUGGCUUUAA